CUAGCAUAUCAAUAAGCGGAGGAAAAGAAACCAACCGGGAUUGCCUUAGUAACGGCGAGUGAAGCGGCAAAAGCUCAAAUUUGAAAUCUGGCGUCUUCGACGUCCGAGUUGUAAUUUGAAGAAGGCAACUUUGUAGCUGGUCCUUGUCUAUGUUCCUUGGAACAGGACGUCAUAGAGGGUGAGAAUCCCGUGUGGCGAGGAUCCCAGUUAUUUGUAAAGUGCUUUCGACGAGUCGAGUUGUUUGGGAAUGCAGCUCUAAGUGGGUGGUAAAUUCCAUCUAAAGCUAAAUAUUGGCGAGAGACCGAUAGCGAACAAGUACAGUGAUGGAAAGAUGAAAAGAACUUUGAAAAGAGAGUGAAAAAGUACGUGAAAUUGUUGAAAGGGAAGGGCAUUUGAUCAGACAUGGCGUUUGCUUCGGCUUUCGCUGGGCCAGCAUCAGUUUUAGCGGUUGGAUAAAUCCUCGGGAAUGUGGCUCUGCUUCGGUAGAGUGUUAUAGCCCGUGGGAAUACAGCCAGCUGGGACUGAGGAUUGCGACUUUUGUCAAGGAUGCUGGCGUAAUGGUUAAAUGCCGCCCGUCUUGAAACACGGACCAAGGAGUCUAACGUCUAUGCGAGUGUUUGGGUGUAAAACCCGUACGCGUAAUGAAAGUGAACGUAGGUGAGGGCCCGCAAGGGUGCAUCAUCGACCGAUCCUGAUGUCUUCGGAUGGAUUUGAGUAAGAGCAUAGCUGUUGGGACCCGAAAGAUGGUGAACUAUGCCUGAAUAGGGUGAAGCCAGAGGAAACUCUGGUGGAGGCUCGUAGCGGUUCUGACGUGCAAAUCGAUCGUCGAAUUUGGGUAUAGGGGCGAAAGACUAAUCGAACCAUCUAGUAGCUGGUUCCUGCCGA
rnacentral:rRNA from 1 species